rnacentral:rRNA from 1 species
UACAGAGGCCCCAAGCGUUACUGAGAAUCACUGGGUUUAAAGGGUGCGUAGGUGGUCUGUUAAGUCCGUUGUGAAAGCCCUGGGCUCAACCCAGGAACUGCUUCGGAUACUGGCAGACUUGAGGCUAGUAGAGGUCACUGGAACUGACGGUGGAGCGGUGAAAUGCGUAGAUAUCGUCAGGAACGCCAAUGGUGAAGACAGGUGACUGGGCUAGAUCUGACACUGAGGCACGAAAGCGUGGGGAGCAAACAGG